AAAGUUAAUUUUUCACCAGCGACAAACCCUCCUGAUACUAUUUGAUUAACCAAUCUCAAUGCACAAAAAACACACAGAUGUAAAUAUUUUCCAAUGUAAAAAAAGUGAGAGAAAAAAAUUAUCUCGCAAUAAGUAGUCUUCACUUUUUACAUUUCUGUGUGGAAGCAGACGACACACCUGUUGCUGCUGCUGCAGAUGACUACUCAAUCACUGAUACUGGUAGACAGCUGCCUCACAGAUAUAUGUCACCAUACAAAACAGUGAAUCCUCUCACAUACCCAAUCGACUAGAUAGUGAUUCCUUGAAUCGAGGAUGUCAUGAAUUGUUGUUCCAUAUGAAAAUUCGUUAAAAAUUGCUACCAACAUGACACUUUGUUUGUAUACAGUGGACCCUCAGAUAUCCAGACGCUUCAGCUUCCGGAUAUUUUUUCUUGGAAAGAGAAUUCUUUACUGUUUUUUUGUCUUGUUUCUCUGGAAUUCUGUGUUCCAGAUCCACACAGGUUUUUAUUGUAUCACAAAAUGCUUUUUUCCACCAUAUUUUGGUUCAUUUAUCCAGAUAGUAAACUGAAACUGUUUUUAUAUGAUUUAACGCCUAAUUUUACACAGAGUAUUCAAUGGUGUUGUACAUGUAUAAUAUAAAAAGCUUUAAAAGAAUAAACAAUACAUCAUAUACAUGCAAACACACUCUAAAUCUACUAAACUAAAAACAUGUACAUUAAAACUGUCUAAACAAA